UCAUUCUUCUUGAGUCGGGAUGCGUUCCGAAUGUUGCAAAAAAACGAGCACAUACUAUUAUGUCCGCGACCAUACGUACCUUUAUGGAACUCGUUGGAAUUGAUUCCGAUCGAGUUUAUUCCGUUAUUUCCUAGAUUUCUAUUGUCUUUUCUAUUGUCUUGAAUGGCAGCGGAAACCAGACCGUCCGCCACGCAGCAGCGGAUCAACGACUCCAACAGCAUGCAGGCCACGGCAACGCGACUGAACGUCGCUGCCCACACAUUACCGAACACUAUCGAACAAAAAAUAAUUUCACUAGCAAAAACAAGACCCAAAGGUAUUUCUGACAAAGACUUAGCUACUGAGUUGCCUGAUUUACAACCAUUUCAAAGAGCUCAAAUUAUAAACAAGCUUUUGACACAAGGAUGUUUUGAACUUUUGAAACAGGGAGAAUCACUUUUUUAUCGUUUGAAAGAUCUUUCCAAGACAAAAGCUGUCAAAGGUGCUGAUAACGAAGAAAAAAUAGUAUACACAAUCAUUGAAGAAGCAGGGAAUAAAGGAAUAUGGAUUCGAGAUAUAAGAUUUAAAUCUAAUUUGGCACCAACUCAAUUGAAUAAGAUUUUGAAGAGUUUAGAGACAAAGAAGUGCAUUAAAGCUGUUAAAUCUGUAGCAGCUAGUAAGAAAAAAGUAUACAUGUUAUAUAGCUUAGAACCAGAUAGAUCUGUAACAGGUGGUGCAUGGUAUCAAGAUCAAGACUUUGAGACAGAAUUUGUUGAUAUAUUAACCCAGUCCUGUUACACCUAUUUGAAUGCAAAGGCAACAGAAGCAAAGAAUUGUAAACAUGGACCUAUUGUUACAAGAAAUAUGUCAUUUGUUUCAUCUAAGGAUGUGCAUAAAUAUAUUACACAUUCUGGAGUAAGCAAGUGGCCUAGCGAGAGAUUCGAGCCCGGUGUUUUUCGGAUUACAAAUCUGCCGCUCUACCUGCUAGCCAUUCUGCUACUCAUAGGGCUGGUUGUUCCAACUUGGUGGUGUUAUCAGUGGAAGAUAUAGAAAUGCUUUUAAAUGCUCUAGUUUAUGAUGGUAAAAUUGAAAAGACAGCCACAGAAGAAGGAAAUUUCAUGUAUAGAGCUAUUCAACCUUUAUUAAGUUCACCAGGGUUGAUCAAAGCUCCCUGCGGCAUAUGUCCAGUAAGAAAAAAUUGUUCCAAUGUUGGGGAAGUUACACCUAUUAAAUGCGAGUACAUUACAAAAUGGUUAGAAUUUGGAAGUGAAAGUAUUUAAUGUUUAAAAUUUAUUUAUAAUAUUGUUAAGACUGUAUUUAAAUACCUUCAUCAAAGAUAUAAAUAAAU